UGUUGCGGAAGCGACGAUAAUAUUAAUAACAAUAUUAUCAGAAAUAUUUAGAUAAUUAUUAUGCCAACAAUUAUACUAAGAAAAUUCCCAGUUAAAUUGGAGGGGUCACAAUGGUCCCGCUUAAAACCCAACAACUAGACAGAACUCACUUAGAUAUUUAUAGCAAUAAUAACUAAAUAAAUAUAACCAACAUAAAGCUAUUAAAUAAAAGCAAACAAAUAAGAAAUAAAAUACCAGAGAUUUAACGAGGUUCGGCCAAUUUAGCUUACGUCCUCGGACACUACCAAAUCAAUAUUUCCUCUAGAAAUAUUACAAAGGAGAAGAUUUUGGGAUGAUACAACCAAAGGGGGAAGGGUUCUAUAUAUAACAAACCAAACCCCCUCCAUUUCUAUCUUUUCCUAAUGUGGGAUAUUGCCAAUAUUCAACAAAUCUCCACCUUGGCAAUAUUCCACAUCUUCGAACAUCUUCUCAUAACACAAACUUCAAUAGUGUCUUCAAAUUUGCAACCAAUCGCCUUCUUCCCUUUUGGUAGUUGUGCCAGCUUCCACGUCUUGUUUUUCUCUAGAGAUUGCAUUUCCUCUUCCAUUGCACCUAACCAUCUAUUAUUCUCUAAACUCUGAAUGGCUUCGGUGUAAGUGGAUGGAAUAUUAUCAACAACUGGAAGUGCAUAAGCUACCAUGUCAGUGAAACGAGCAGGUUUCUGAAUUUCUCGUCUCUGCCUUCUGACUGCAAUUGGCUCUGAUUGCUGUUGAGGUUCUUGGGUAGAAACCUCUUCCUCAUCUGACUCUGCAUCUGCCAAUGAAGAAUCACUAGUGGUACCUUUUGCUGGAAUUACCACACUCUGCUCAAACUCCACCUGCUGCGGAGUACACUCCACCUGCUGCGAAGUACUACUCACUCCUUCUGGAUUUACCUUAUUCAACAUGGCAGAUUCAUGAAAGGUAACAUCCCUACUGAUUAUCGUCUUCUUUGCCUCUAGACACCACAAACGAUAUCCCUUAACACCAGCAUUGAAGCCCAUGAAUAGAGCCUUCUUUGCUCUUGGAUCUAACUUUGAUUCUUUCACAUGAUAAUAUGCAAUAGAACCAAAAAUGCGCAAGGUGUCAUAAUCAGUAGCAGGUUUUCCAUACCAUUUCUCCAAAGGAGUCUUGCCAUUUAUAGCAGAUGAUGGCAAAUGAUUGAUGAGAUGUUGAGCGUACGUCACAGCCUCAGUCCAAAACUUUCUAUCUAAUCCAGCAUUAGAUAACAUACAUCGAACUUUCUCCACAAGCGUUCGAUUCAUACGCUCUGCCACCCCAUUCUGUUGCGGUGUUCCACCUACGGUGAAGUGCCUUACUAUGCCACAAUCUUGGCAUAUCUUCAGGAAAGGAUCGCUUUUAUAUUCUCCACCGUUGUCUGAUCGGAGAACCUUAAUCUUCCUUCCUGUCUGAUUUUCAACUUUAGUUUUCCACUUAAGGAAAACUUCAAGCACCUCAUCUUUGUUCUUCAUAGGAAACACCCAAACUCGUCUGGAAAAAUCAUCAAUAAAGGUGACAAAAUAACGUCUUCCUCCAAGUGAUGGAGUCUUGGACGGUCCCCAUACAUCAGAAUGCACAUAAUCCAGAAUACCUUUAGUAUUGUGAAUCCCAGUGCCAAAUUUCACCCUUCGUUGUUUUCCCAGAACACAAUGCUCGCAAAAUUCAAGUUUGCAAGUCUUUGUACCUUUCAAUAAUCCUUGCUUGGCUAGAGUUUGCAAGGAUUUUUCACCAGCAUGGCCCAAACGCAUAUGCCACAGCUGUGUUGCCUCAGCGUCCUUCUUGGUACUCGUAAUUGCUGCUGCUGUUGUCCCGACCACUGUACUACCUUGGUAGUAAUACAGAUUGUUCUUUCUUAUGCCUUUCAACAUCACCAAUGCUCCUGAAGUUGCUUUAAGAACUCCAUCUCGUAUUGUCACAACUAGGCCUUUAGAUUCUAACGACCCCAAAGAGAUGAGAUUCUUCUUCAACUUUGGGACAUAUCGUACAUCCCGCAAAAUUCUAGUAGAUCCAUCAUGACUCCUCAGUUUAAUUGAACCUAUCCCGGCUAUUUUACAUGUGUUAUCAUUACCCAUGUAAACAACCCCUUCAUCUAGUUUUUGAAAUUCAAAGAACCAUUCCCGAAUGGGACACAUAUGAUAGGAACAACCAGAAUCCAUGAUCCACUCAUCUGCAUAUAAUGUUGAAGAUGUCAUACUAAGAGAAAAGUCUGACUCUGCUUCACUAUUGCAUUCUGCAACAUUUGCAUCUUGCGGAGUCUUCCCUUUUUUCUUCAAUUUUGGACAAUCUUUCUUCCAAUGUCCUUUUUCUUUGCAAAAAAAACAUUCAUCUUUGGCAACAGCUCGACCUUUGGACUUUCUUCUCUUCCCCUUAGACUGACUUUGCUGACGACCUCUUGUUACCAAUGCUUCCACUGCUGCUUCACCUGAACCUUUCAACUUAUCCUUUCGGCGUAGUUCAUAGCUAUACAAUGCAGCAGUUACUUCAUUGAAAGUUACUUCCGAUUUUCCAUGAAGUAGAGUAGUUUCAAGGUACUCAAACUCCUCAGGAAGCGAUCCCAACAACAUUAACGCCAAGUCUUCGUCUUCAAAAGUCACAUCCAAAUUCAACAAAUCAGCCACCAGCUGAUUAAAAUUGGUAAUGUGCUCGUUCAUCGUGGUACCAGGAACAUAACUGAAACGAAACAGUCUUUUCUUCAUAUGUAACUUAUUUUGACUGUUCUUCUUCAGAAAUUUCUCCUCCAAUGCUUUCCACAAUUUACUUGCAGAAGUCUCUUUACUGAAUGUAUACUUCUGCUCUCUGGAAAGACAUGAUCGAAUUGUACCACAUGCCAAUCGGUUGAUGGUCUUCCAUUCUUUAUCAUCAACCCCUUCUGGUUUUUCUUCCUCAAUGGCAAUAUCUAGACCCUGUUGAAAGAGGGCAUCUAGAAGCUCACUUUGCCACAUGCCGAAAUGACCUGUUCCAUCAAAAAUUUCCACUGCAAAUCUCGUAUUUGCAGUUCCAAUCCUCGGCAAAAUGUACGAAGUGGAAGUUGUUGAUAUGGAUGGUUUUUCUUCUGUCAUUUUUGCCAUAGCUUCUACUUAAUAGCCACCAAAUGCAGAAUACCCACAAGCUUUCGGAAAUGUUUCUGAUGUGUAAGAUCAGACUAAGCUGCAAACACAGAGCAUACUACAAAACCUUGGCUCGGAUACCAAUUGUUGCGGAAGCGACGAUAAUAUUAAUAACAAUAUUAUCAGAAAUAUUUAGAUAAUUAUUAUGCCAACAAUUAUACUAAGAAAAUUCCCAGUUAAAUUGGAGGGGUCACAAUGGUCCCGCUUAAAACCCAACAACUAGACAGAACUCACUUAGAUAUUUAUAGCAAUAAUAACUAAAUAAAUAUAACCAACAUAAAGCUAUUAAAUAAAAGCAAACAAAUAAGAAAUAAAAUACCAGAGAUUUAACGAGGUUCGGCCAAUUUAGCUUACGUCCUCGGACACUACCAAAUCAAUAUUUCCUCUAGAAAUAUUACAAAGGAGAAGAUUUUGGGAUGAUACAACCAAAGGGGGAAGGGUUCUAUAUAUAACAAACCAAACCCCCUCCAUUUCUAUCUUUU
rnacentral:lncRNA from 1 species